UACGUAGGGUGCAGGCGUUAAUCGGAAUUACUGGGCGUAAAGCGUGCGCAGGCGGUUUCUUAAGUCAGAUGUGAAAGCCCCGGGCUUAACCUGGGAACUGCGUUUGAAACUGGGAGACUUGAGUGUGGCAGAGGGGGGUGGAAUUCCACGUGUAGCAGUGAAAUGCGUAGAUAUUGGGAAGAACACCGGUGGCGAAGGCGGCGCUCUGGACCGAGACUGACGCUGAGGAGCGAAAGCGUGGGGAGCGAACAGG
rnacentral:rRNA from 1 species